UACGUAGGGGGCUAGCGUUGUCCGGAUUUAUUGGGCGUAAAGAGCGUGUAGGCGGCCAGGUAGGUCUGGUGUGAAAACUCGAGGCUUAACCUCGAGAUGUCAUCGGAAACCAUCUGGCUAGAGUCCGGAAGAGGAGAGUGGAAUUCCUGGUGUAGCGGUGAAAUGCGCAGAUAUCAGGAAGAACACCAAUGGCGAAGGCAGCUCUCUGGGACGGUACUGACGCUGAGACGCGAAAAGCGUGGGGAGCGAACAGG
rnacentral:rRNA from 1 species